AGUGAACGCUGGCGGUAGGCCUAACACAUGCAAGUCGAACGGCAGCACAGUAAGAGCUUGCUCUUACGGGUGGCGAGUGGCGGACGGGUGAGGAAUACAUCGGAAUCUACUUUUUCGUGGGGGAUAACGUAGGGAAACUUACGCUAAUACCGCAUACGACCUACGGGUGAAAGCAGGGGAUCUUCGGACCUUGCGCGAUUGAAUGAGCCGAUGUCGGAUUAGCUAGUUGGCGGGGUAAAGGCCCACCAAGGCGACGAUCCGUAGCUGGUCUGAGAGGAUGAUCAGCCACACUGGAACUGAGACACGGCCCAGACUCCUACGGGAGGCAGCAGUGGGGAAUAUUGGACAAUGGGCGCAAGCCUGAUCCAGCCAUACCGCGUGGGUGAAGAAGGCCUUCGGGUUGUAAAGCCCUCUUGUUGGGAAAGAAAAGCAGCAGGUUAAUACCCCGCUGUUCUGACGGUACCCAAAGAAUAAGCACCGGCUAACUUCGUG
rnacentral:rRNA from 1 species